ensembl:lncRNA
UUCUGACUGUCUGAGGCUAAAUUGAAUCGAAUCAGGACUUUGAGAACCGGAAUCGAAUGGAUGAUAGAAAUCAGUGAUGAUACCCAGCCCUAGUGAGCAGCCUAGGCCUGACAGAAGUGGAUGUAGCUGUGGGUAAUAAGAAAAGAUGAAAAACUAUUGAUAACUUUUGUGUUAAGUUAAGGACUGAUCCGUCUGAAAUUCAUAGCCAGCUCUGACACGGUGCCAUCAAUCUUUGAAUGCUGAAAAAACAGCAGUGUAUCCAGAAAACACAGUAUAUGCUGCAAUAAAUGCACUGCCCAAGUGUCCCCUCUCCCCACUGCCUUUCAGCAGCAGCAAACAGGUCAUCAGAGGAGGACGAGAUAAUGAUUAAGUUUAACAUUUUCUACAAUAUUGACAAAGCAAUUUAUGCACAAGUUUGUUAGUUAAUAAUUUAGAAAUGAAUAUUGUCUGUAUGGACUUCCCGCCAAAGAAAGUGCACAUGUAAAACUGCGGUGUUAAGCGAUGCGGUUGAAAAAUUUGAGUGCGCCUAACUUUUGUGCCGGUGUUCUGGGAAUUUCUCCUACCCCGUAAACCGUCCUACCCGUUGUUCCUGAGCAUAUGUGCGCAUGCACACAACACAAAAAGGGAAGCAAAGUGCAUCCGGCUGUGAUUUAAUGCUACUCCGUUGUCAUAUUUGCAGGAAAAUAGCUUCGGUGAAGUCUGCUGUCAAGUUACUGGACACGUGGUAUUUGCACAACACUUCUGAAUCCGCAGCUUCGGUGUUUUAAGGCUGUUUCGAUAUGGAGAAGAAGUGGGAAGAGAUUUACGCGUUCAUUUCUGCGGGCUCCUACCCUUCAGGAUAUGACAAGGCUCAAAGGCAAAACCUCAGAAGAUAUGCCUCAAAAUUCAAACAAAAGG